rnacentral:misc_RNA from 1 species
AAAAAGGCAGCAACCGGGAUGCACAUGAAAUAGUUGUGAGAAAAAUAUUUUCAAAUAAGUGAAUCUUUUGUACAAAAUAUCGUGCGAGAUUAUUGAAACUGGUUCGAGUAACAAUUUACAGUCGCAAUAUUUACGUCGAUAGUCGAAAAAAAUAAAGGAUUAAGUCGAUGUUGGUGGAUUUCUGUUGGCCUGACGUUAGCGUGCGCACAUCAUGCCGAAAGUAAAGAAGAGUAACCGGAUUGCAGAGCGGAGAGAAGGUCCGACAAAAAAUUAACAGCAGUCAAAAGCAAAGAGGGGGCAAUCUGUAAACAAGGACACUUCGGAGACAGUUGAGAAAUCCCCGGAGGUUGACCAUGUGGUUGGAAACCCAAAACCUUGCCCGGAAUCAGUUUCAUCACUUCCGUCAGCUAGCACAGUGGGCAGACUUGAACCCAGAGACCAUUCCAGACGAAUUUCUAGCAAUGAUGUCAGAGAUGAAGUGAACAAAUUAUUACAACUAGCAACAGCACAAAAUACACAAGAGACAUACAGACAAGGGUUGACAUGUUUUGAGGAAUUUCGUGAUACUAUCAGCCUUGAAAGGCUUUGGCCACCUCCUUUGGAGCAAAUUAUACAAUUUGUUGGUUACAUGUCAGCAAGAGGGUUGGGAGAAUCUACAGCAAAGACCUAUCUGUCUGGAAUUUCAUACUAUCUCAAGUUGUAUAAUUACACAGAUGUGACUCAAAAUUUCAUAGUCAGAAAAUUAUUAGAAGGUUAUAGAAGAAAGGCUAAGUCUAAAGAUAUCAGAUUACCAAUAACAUUAAACAUUUUGGAGAGCAUAUUGAAAUCAUUGCCAAUUGUCUGCAAUGAUAUUUAUGAAGCAAAACUUUUUGCAGCUGCUUAUAGUUUAGCUUUUUUUGGAUAUUUUAGGGUAGGUGAGAUAACUGAGGGGAAAAAACAAGCUGUAGGUCAUGCAGUCCAAUUUAAAAACCUGGAGUUGUCAUCAGAUAAAUCUUUAAUGAAAUUAUAUCUGGAACACUCCAAAGCUGAUCAAAGGGGAAAGGGGGAAAUGGUUAUUAUUCAGAAUGUUCAAUCAUUAACUAGCACAAAGCCAGUUUAUAUUAUGGCAGAAUUUUUAAAAGUUAGAACCAUUAGACAAGGCAACUUGUUUUGCCACUUUGGGGGUCAGCCGCUUACUCGUUUUCAGUUUACAUCGGUGUUGAGCAAAGUAUUGAAAACAAUUGGCAUUGAUAGCACUAAGUACAAAUCCCAUUCUUUUCGAAUAGGUGCGGCUACCAAUGCAGCCAAAUUGGGCUUGUCAGAUGAUGAAAUCUGUAAAGCUGGUAGGUGGAAAUCCAACUCUUACAAAUCAUAUAUAAGAUUUUAAGAAUGUAGUGGUCUUAAUUACAGUCACAUUUACUAAAAAUAUUUUUUCAGAAAUUGAAGCUUGGUUUGUGGGUUCUUCUAUAGUGAAAAGAGCAUUUGUUGCAGCCAGAGAUAGGCCAGGUGGAGUGUCCUUGGGUCUUCAGAGGUUAGGGAUAAAUAUGUGGUGGCAAGGAAAAGGGGGUAUGAUCUGGACAGACAUGUAUAAAAAAAUUAAAACUUUGUUGAAAGUUAAUGACAAACCCCAGUAUUUGAUAAUGCAUUGUGCUGGAAAUGACAUGGGCAAAACAAAGUUGAAAGAGUUAAUUGAGAAUGUCAAAACCACUUUAGGGAAAAUUCAGCUACUUCUGCCUGAUACAAAAAUUAUAUGGUCACAAUUGUUACCUAGGAGGAAAUGGAGAUACUCUGAAGAUGUCAAUGCCAUGAACAAAUCUUUAAAAAGGUUAAACAGCUCCAUUGCAGCUGAGCUUGUUAGAAAGGGGGGUGGCUACAUUAAGUACCCAGAUAUUAAACCCGAUGAUGAGCUGUUGUUUGACAGGGAUGGUGUUCAUUUGUCUGAAAAAAGAACUGAAAUAUUUUUUAAAUACAAUUUGUGCUGCUAUUGAACAAUUUAGCAAAACUGGGAUACUUGUUUAUCCCAAACUCUACUAGUUUUGAACCAAGUUUAUUGUUCAUGUGGGAUGUGGCAAGGUCUAGGCUUAAGGAACUACCCGCUUCCCCCACUUGGUGGCGGUGGCUUCACUGAAUACAUGCAGUGCAUGCAUUCACUUUCGCCAUGUGGAUGAAUGCGCGUGUUGUUCCCGAUCUACUUGUGCACAAUUGAUGUGCAGUUGAAAUUAUUUGAUAAUGACAAUUUGAAGUUGAACAUUUUUUGUCUCGGGUUGCCGUUUACCGGAAUCUGAGUUGACCAAGUUGGUGUUUUGCAUUUAUAUUGAUUGCAAUUGUUGAAGUUGUAAUAUUGUUUUUGAGCCAUUUGCUAAUUUUUUAUGUUGCAAAUAUUUUCUUUGCCGUUAACCGGAAAGAAUAAAUUUGCACAGUUGGUUGUUUGAAAAUUGUUGAAUUUUUUAGACAAUGAUGUGUUUUUGACCAUACCCAUUUGGUGUCAAUGCACUAAUGGCAUUUCCAUUGUAAAAUUAUGAUGUAAUUUACAAAUACUUUAUUUACACAUAUUUUACUCAUUGUCUUGAAGCCAAGACCAAACAAUGCCACAGAGGGGGGUAGAUUACAAUACAUGAAAACAAUAAAUCUGUUGUGAAUCUG